AGUGCGUGAGUACGGAACAAAAAUAA
rnacentral:piRNA from 1 species